rnacentral:rRNA from 1 species
UACAGAGGGUGCGAGCGUUAAUCGGAAUUACUGGGCGUAAAGGGCGCGUAGGCGGCUCAUGAAGGCUGUGGUGAAAGUCCGGGGCUCAACCUCGGAUCGGCCGUGGCGACUCGUGGGCUGGAGCACUGUAGAGGCGGGUGGAAUUCCGGGUGUAGCGGUGGAAUGCGUAGAGAUUCGGAAGAACACCAGUGGCGAAGGCGACUUACUGGACACAUAUUGACGCUGAGGUGCGAAAGCGUGGGGAGCAAACAGG